AAUAUGAGGCGGGCUGGACCUCUCGGGGUUACAGCCUUGCUGAAUUAUUCACCCUUGUCUUUUGCGUACUUCUUGUUUCCUUGGUGGGUUCGCCCACCACUAGGACAAACAUAAACCUUUUGUAAUUGCAAUCAGCGUCAGUAACAAAUUAAUAAUUACAACUUUCAACAACGGAUCUCUUGGUUCUGGCAUCGAUGAAGAACGCAGCGAAAUGCGAUAAGUAGUGUGAAUUGCAGAAUUCAGUGAAUCAUCGAAUCUUUGAACGCACAUUGCGCCCUUUGGUAUUCCAAAGGGCAUGCCUGUUCGAGCGUCAUUUGUACCCUCAAGCUUUGCUUGGUGUUGGGCGUCUUGUCUCUAGCUUUGCUGGAGACUCGCCUUAAAGUAAUUGGCAGCCGGCCUACUGGUUUCGGAGCGCAGCACAAGUCGCACUCUCUAUCAGCAAAGGUCUAGCAUCCAUUAAGCCUUUUUUUCAACUUUUGACCUCGGAUCAGGUAGGGAUACCCGCUGAACUUAAGCAUAUCAAUAG
rnacentral:rRNA from 1 species